rnacentral:rRNA from 1 species
AGUGAACGCUGGCGGUAGGCCUAACACAUGCGAGUCGAACGGCAGCACAGUAAGAGCUUGCUCUUACGGGUGGCGAGUGGCGGACGGGUGAGGAAUACAUCGGAAUCUACUUUUUCGUGGGGGAUAACGUAGGGAAACUUACGCUAAUACCGCAUACGACCUACGGGUGAAAGCAGGGGAUCUUCGGACCUUGCGCGAUUGAAUGAGCCGAUGUCGGAUUAGCUAGUUGGCGGGGUAAAGGCCCACCAAGGCGACGAUCCGUAGCUGGUCUGAGAGGAUGAGCAGCCACACUGGAACUGAGACACGGUCCAGACUCCUACGGGAGGCAGCAGUGGGGAAUAUUGGACAAUGGGCGCAAGCCUGAUCCAGCCAUACCGCGUGGGUGAAGAAGGCCUUCGGGUUGUAAAGCCCUUUUGUUGGGAAAGAAAAGCAGCAGGUUAAUACCCCGCUGUUCUGACGGUACCCAAAGAAUAAGCACCGGCUAACUUCGU